rnacentral:tRNA from 1 species
GGAGGAGUGGCAGAGUGGUCGAUUGCACCUGUCUUGAAAACAGGAGUCUGAGUAAUCGGACCGUGAGUUCGAAUCUCACCUCCUCCG